rnacentral:rRNA from 1 species
GACGAACGCUGGCGGCGUGCCUAAUACAUGCAAGUCGAGCGAAGCGGCGGAUGGGUGAGUAACGCGUGGGUAACCUGCCCUUAAGUCUGGGAUACCAUCUGGAAACAGAUGCUAAUACCGGAUACUAAAGGAUGGACCUGGGAUGCAUUAGCUAGUUGGUAAGGUAACGGCUUACCAAGGCGAUGAUGCCUAGCCGGUGUGAGAGGAUGAUCGGCCACACUGGGACUGAGACACGGCCCAGACUCCUACGGGAGGCAGCAGUGGGGAAUCUUGCACAAUGGGCGAAAGUCUGAUGCAGCAACGCCGCGUGAGUGAAGAAGGUUUUCGGAUCGUAAAGCUCUGUUGUUGGUGAAGCGGUAAUCAACCAGAAAGUCACGGCUAACUACGUGCCAGCAGCCGCGGUAAUAC